CAUUUCCACCCGCCACGUCCUCUCCACCAAUACACACACCCCAAGCCCACCCAACAGAUAUUUCCGUCUUUCCAGUGCUCUUUCAGCCUUCCCCUUCUCCAUGUGCCCGCGGAGCCCAGUCAGUCACCCCCACCGCUAUGUGUUACGACAGAGCCUGCUCGCACGCUCGGUUCUGCCAAUUCUCGAAGAAUUUCAAGUCAAGAGUUGGAAUUUGGAUGUUGUUUGUCUCUGAAAGAGCACCUGUAUGGUGCCCCUAGAUUGGUGAAAAGGGGCCGAAGAAAAGAUGCGAUGCUUGGAAGAGGACGCAAACAAAAAUGACCGACAUCGCACCCGAAUAGGUAUAAAUUGAGAUAAAACGUUGUUCUAGAGCAUAAGGGGUAUUAAGGGAGAUCUAUUUAAAUGUAAGGAUAUUAUUAGAAAAUGAAAUUAGAGAAACACCCUCGUACUAUUAUACAUAGUACAGAUAUAGGUUAUUAUUAUCUUAAUGCAGGAGGUAAGACUGUGAUACCAUGGUUUAUGCUUAAACUAUCCCGUACAAGUUUGUCUUCGGAGAUCGGAAUUACAAUAUGGAUAUGAGCGGCAUGGUUCUUCCAUGAGAAAGACUGAAAUUUGAUUUCA